AGUUUGAUCCUGGCUCAGAUUGAACGCUGGCGGCAUGCCUUACACAUGCAAGUCGAACGGCAGCACGGGUGCUUGCACCUGGUGGCGAGUGGCGAACGGGUGAGUAAUACAUCGGAAUGUACCUUGUAGUGGGGGAUAGCUCGGCGAAAGCCGGAUUAAUACCGCAUACGCUCUGAGGAGGAAAGCGGGGGACCUUCGGGCCUCGUGCUACAAGAGCAGCCGAUGUCAGAUUAGCUAGUUGGUGGGGUAAAAGCUCACCAAGGCGACGAUCUGUAGCUGGUCUGAGAGGACGACCAGCCACACUGGGACUGAGACACGGCCCAGACUCCUACGGGAGGCAGCAGUGGGGAAUUUUGGACAAUGGGCGAAAGCCUGAUCCAGCAAUGCCGCGUGUGUGAAGAAGGCCUUCGGGUUGUAAAGCACUUUUGUCCGGAAAGAAAUCCUUUGGGUUAAUACCUCGGGGGGAUGACGGUACCGGAAGAAUAAGCACCGGCUAACUACGUGCCAGCAGCCGCGGUAAUACGUAGGGUGCAAGCGUUAAUCGGAAUUACUGGGCGUAAAGCGUGCGCAGGCGGUUUUGUAAGACGGAUGUGAAAUCCCCGGGCUUAACCUGGGAACUGCAUCCGUGACUGCAAGGCUAGAGUAUGGCAGAGGGGGGUAGAAUUCCGCGUGUAGCAGUGAAAUGCGUAGAGAUGUGGAGGAAUACCGAUGGCGAAGGCAGCCCCCUGGGCCAAUACUGACGCUCAUGCACGAAAGCGUGGGGAGCAAACAGGAUUAGAUACCCUGGUAGUCCACGCCCUAAACGAUGUCAACUAGUUGUUGGGGAUUCAUUUCCUUAGUAACGUAGCUAACGCGUGAAGUUGACCGCCUGGGGAGUACGGUCGCAAGAUUAAAACUCAAAGGAAUUGACGG
rnacentral:rRNA from 1 species